rnacentral:lncRNA from 14 species
ACAGAACGCUAACACCACGGACAUCCCACUUCCCACACACGGUCUUUUGGGAUGUCUGGAAAGCAAAAUAUUACUGACCAGAAAAGGAUGGUCAGCGAAGCCCUUGGGGACCAAGCCAUCAAGGUUUCAGAUCAGAGUGAAAUACGAGAAGCCAAGGACUGUGGUGACUAGUGGUAACAAGGGUUCGUCAGAGCAGAGGACAACGCAGUGGUGGAGGAUCACAAAGAGAACAGGGAAGUGGCCCCACAUCCAGCAUUGCUCAGGAUGCCAGGAAGUAGGGGCUCCUUGGGGACACUCCUGAGCUCUCCAGUUAUGCGAAACAGCGCUGAUUUCCCUAGCUCUGGCCUCUGCCCAGACAACAAAGAGUCCGAGGCCAGCCAGCUGGAAAUCCCCAGCCAGCGGAAUCUCGAGGCAAACAAAGAGGAGGGGUCUUGGGGAUGUAGCUCGGGUGGAAGAGGGCUUAAAGCCCGGAAGCCCUGCUUCCCUCCCAGCGCCACUUACAGUGGGCAGAAGCCCUUCUCUGAGGGCCCAUUUAUAGGCCCUACAGAUUGUACAGAGACGUCUGGAGACCUUUGGCCGCUGCUUACCAGGACAAGCUUGAACAUCCGGUGGUGCCACACCUGUUCCAGAUUGGAGAC